AUGAACCCGGCAUAUGCCCCAGGCCCCGACGGCCUACCAGUCCGCUUCUUCCAGGCAUUCUGGCCUAUGGUCAAGGAUGUAAUCCUUGCCCUGAUCCUUGAGCUCUCUGAAGGAACUUUGGAUGUUUCUCGCUUGAACUACAAGAUCGUCUCCCUAAUCCCGAAGGUCCAAGGUGCUUCGGAUAUUAGACAGUUUCAUCCGAUCACGGUCCUCGACGUGAUCUUUCGAAUUCUGGCCAAGGGGUAUGCCACUAGGGUGGUCCGGAUCGCUCCUAGGGUUCACCAUCCGAACCAAACGGCCUUCACAAAAGGUCGCUAUAUUCUGGAUGGGAUCCUCGUUCUUCACGAGGUUAUCCAUGAAGUCAAAAGUAAACACCUACGAGCGGUGUUCUUCAAAAUUGACUUUCAUAAAGCAUACGACACAGUUCACUGGUCUUUCCUUCGGGAGGUGAUGAUGAAGCGGGGCUUCGAACCACAUUGGAUUGCCUGCAUAAUGCAGCUCUUCACAAGUGGACGCACGACAGUUAACAUUAAUGGAGAGGUCGGUCCCUACUUCCCUACGGGACAAGGUGUUUGA
rnacentral:rRNA from 1 species